rnacentral:rRNA from 1 species
GAUGAACGCUGGCGGCGUGCCUAAUACAUGCAAGUCGAGCGAACAGACGAGGAGCUUGCUCCUCUGACGUUAGCGGCGGACGGGUGAGUAACACGUGGAUAACCUACCUAUAAGACUGGGAUAACUUCGGGAAACCGGAGCUAAUACCGGAUAAUAUAUUGAACCGCAUGGUUCAAUAGUGAAAGACGGUUUUGCUGUUACUUAUAGAUGGAUCCGCGCCGCAUUAGCUAGUUGGUAAGGUAACGGCUUACCAAGGCAACGAUACGUAGCCGACCUGAGAGGGUGAUCGGCCACACUGGAACUGAGACACGGUCCAGACUCCUACGGGAGGCAGCAGUAGGGAAUCUUCCGCAAUGGGCGAAAGCCUGACGGAGCAACGCCGCGUGAGUGAUGAAGGUCUUCGGAUCGUAAAACUCUGUUAUUAGGGAAGAACAAAUGUGUAAGUAACUAUGCACGUCUUGACGGUACCUAAUCAGAAAGCCACGGCUAACUACGCG